rnacentral:rRNA from 1 species
AACGCUAGCUACAGGCUUAACACAUGCAAGUCGAGGGGCAGCAUGGUCUUAGCUUGCUAAGGCCGAUGGCGACCGGCGCACGGGUGAGUAACACGUAUCCAACCUGCCGUCUACUCUUGGACAGCCUUCUGAAAGGAAGAUUAAUACAAGAUGGCAUCAUGAGUCCGCAUGUUCACAUGAUUAAAGGUAUUCCGGUAGACGAUGGGGAUGCGUUCCAUUAGAUAGUAGGCGGGGUAACGGCCCACCUAGUCUUCGAUGGAUAGGGGUUCUGAGAGGAAGGUCCCCCACAUUGGAACUGAGACACGGUCCAAACUCCUACGGGAGGCAGCAGUGAGGAAUAUUGGUCAAUGGGCGAGAGCCUGAACCAGCCAAGUAGCGUGAAGGAUGACUGCCCUAUGGGUUGUAAACUUCUUUUAUAAAGGAAUAAAGUCGGGUAUGGAUACCCGUUUGCAUGUACUUUAUGAAUAAGGAUCGGCUAACUCCGUGCCAGCAGCCGCGGUAAUACGGAGGAUCCGAGCGUUAUCCGGAUUUAUUGGGUUUAAAGGGAGCGUAGAUGGAUGUUUAAAUCAGUUGUGAAAGUUUGCGGCUCAACCGUAAAAUUGCAGUUGAUACUGGAUAUCUUGAGUGCAGUUGAGGCAGGCGGAAUUCGUGGUGUAGCGGUGAAAUGCUUAGAUAUCACGAAGAACUCCGAUUGCGAAGGCAGCCUGCUAAGCUGCAACUGACAUUGAGGCUCGAAAGUGUGGGUAUCAAACAGGAUUAGAUACCCUGGUAGUCCACACGGUAAACGAUGAAUACUCGCUGUUUGCGAUAUACUGCAAGCGGCCAAGCGAAAGCGUUAAGUAUUCCACCUGGGGAGUACGCCGGCAACGGUGAAACUCAAAGGAAUUGACGGGGGCCCGCACAAGCGGAGGAACAUGUGGUUUAAUUCGAUGAUACGCGAGGAACCUUACCCGGGCUUAAAUUGCAGAUGAAUUACGGUGAAAGCCGUAAGCCGCAAGGCAUCUGUGAAGGUGCUGCAUGGUUGUCGUCAGCUCGUGCCGUGAGGUGUCGGCUUAAGUGCCAUAACGAGCGCAAACCCUUGUUGUCAGUUACUAACAGGUUCCGCUGAGGACUCUGACAAGACUGCCAUCGUAAGAUGUGAGGAAGGUGGGGAUGAUGUCAAAUCAGCACGGCCCUUACUUUCCGGGGCUACACACGUGUUACAAUGGGGGGUACAGAGGGCCGAUACCACGCGAGUGGAUGCCAAUCCCAAAAACCUCUCUCAGUUCGGACUGGAGUCUGCAACCCGACUCCACGAAGCUGGAUUCGCUAGUAAUCGCGCAUCAGCCACGGCGCGGUGAAUACGUUUCCGGGCCUUGUACACUCCGCCCGUCAAGCCAUGGGAGCCGGGGGUACCUGAAGUGCGUAACCGCGAGGAGCGCCCUAGGGUAAAACUGGUGACUGGGGCUAAGUCGUAACAAGGUAGCC